AAGUGAUUACUGCAGCGGACAUAAGAUACUGUAGAUGUCAUGUGUACUCUGUUACACUUAUUUGGAAAGAGCAUCCUAAUCCAGGUUAAGAAAAAAUGAGGGGAAGAGAGAGAAACUACAGAAAUCUACCUCAAAUAGGCACCAUGUGACUUUCCAACCAGUUCUCAUAUGCCCUGACAAGCACUUUUUAAAGGAGUUUGCAUCUUUCUGUACACACUGCCUUAUUUUUCAACUAUACCCUGUGAUUCUUGAACUCCGCUUUUCUUCUUGAAGCUCUUUAAAAGAUUUUCAAGAGGCUUUUAAAUUUCUUUCUUGGAACCUGUGCUCAGCCAAAUCUCUGGGGUCUGGCUCGUGCCUCUGGCUCACCUAUUCCUGCAGCCAUGUCUUUCCAGCAGCAGCAGUGCCUGCCCCAGAUGACAAGCAGCCCUGUCAGCCACCCCCUGUCAAAUGUCAAGAGGCGUGUGCACCUAAAACCAAGGAUCCAUGUGCUCCCCAGGCCAAGAAGCAAUGCCCAGCCAAGGACACAGCAAUCCCAGCCCAGCAGAAGUGUCCUGCAACCAGCAAGCCCCCUAGAGUAAAUAGAAGUAAGAAUGGACGGAGAGAUACCUGCCCGCCAACCAGGCUACCAGAUGCAGCCUUCUCUUUCUCCUGCUCCUUUUCUGAUCCUCAGCUCCGGGAUUUGCCCUCCUCUCCCAUCUUCUCCUACUCAGGGUCCAAGGAAACAUUGUCAGGAUUUCUUCCCAUGGAACUCCUUGUCUCAUACAUCCCCUUGCUCCCAGUAUAUUCUUCUGUUCCCAACUCUGACUCUCUCCUAGAUGAACAUGAGUGAGGUCCCACCUUCUCCAGCUUCCAGUUUGGCCACAGCUGUGGCCCCAUCCAUGUCCUAAAGCAAGAAAUAUAUCUGGGCUGAUUCUAGGGCUUCCACCUUGACUCACGGGGACACCAGAGGCUGAUGCAUAGCUUCUAUAUCAUUCCCUUUCCCAAUUCCCCAUCCGUGAGCUUCCCUCCUCUUUCUUCCACUAAUAAAUCUGUGCUUCAUAUUAAAAAGAAUUAUCUCUCCUAGCAAUAUUUUGUAGUUCAUUUUUAUUUCAGAUCUUACCCCUAUACUUUGUUAAAUAUACUUAUUCUAUGGUUUUAUAUUUAAAAUUUUAAUUUUCAAGUUUUUGAUUAAUAUACAGAAACAUGAUUGUUUUGUAUAUACUUUAUAAUUUUGAACUUCUUUAAAUUCAAUUCACAU
rnacentral:lncRNA from 1 species